GCUCAUUUCAGCAGUACAUAGUAAAAUUGGGAUGAUACAGAGAAGAUUAGCAUGGCCCCUGCUCAAGGAUGACACACAAAUUCAUGAAGCGGUCCAUAUUAAA